AGUGAACGCUGGCGGUAGGCCUAACACAUGCAAGUCGAACGGCAGGACAGUAAGAGCUUGCUCUUAAGGGUGGCGAGUGGCGGACGGGUGAGGAAUACAUCAGAAUCUACUUUUUCGUGGGGGAUAACGUAGGGAAACUUACGCUAAUACCGCAUACGACCUACGGGUGAAAGCAGGGGAUCGUCGGACCCUUGGCGGUUGAAAGGGCCGGAGCCGGAUUAGCUAGUUGGCGGGGUAAAGGCCCACCAAGGCAACGAUCCGUAGCUGGUCUGAGAGGAUGAUCAGCCACACUGGAACUGAGACACGGUCCAGACUCCUACGGGAGGCAGCAGUGGGGAAUAUUGGACAAUGGGCGCAAGCCUGAUCCAGCCAUACCGCGUGGGUGAAGAAGGCCUUCGGGUUGUAAAGCCCUUUUGUUGGGAAAGAAAAGCAGCAGGUUAAUACCCCGCUGUUCUGACGGUACCCAAAGAAUAAGCACCGGCUAACUUCGUG
rnacentral:rRNA from 1 species